GCAGUGGUGGUUCAGUGGUAGAAUUCUCGCCUCCCACUGGGCAGACCCGUGUCCGAUUCCCGGCCAAUGCA
rfam:Danio rerio chromosome 4, GRCz11 reference primary assembly.